AAAUUGAAGAGUUUGAUCAUGGCUCAGAUUGAACGCUGGCGGCAGGCCUAACACAUGCAAGUCGAGCGGUAGCACAGAGAGCUUGCUCUCGGGUGACGAGCGGCGGACGGGUGAGUAAUGUCUGGGAAACUGCCUGAUGGAGGGGGAUAACUACUGGAAACGGUAGCUAAUACCGCAUAAUGUCGCAAGACCAAAGUGGGGGACCUUCGGGCCUCAUGCCAUCAGAUGUGCCCAGAUGGGAUUAGCUAGUAGGUGGGGUAACGGCUCACCUAGGCGACGAUCCCUAGCUGGUCUGAGAGGAUGACCAGCCACACUGGAACUGAGACACGGUCCAGACUCCUACGGGAGGCAGCAGUGGGGAAUAUUGCACAAUGGGCGCAAGCCUGAUGCAGCCAUGCCGCGUGUGUGAAGAAGGCCUUCGGGUUGUAAAGCACUUUCAGCGGGGAGGAAGGCGGUGAGGUUAAUAACCUCACCGAUUGACGUUACCCGCAGAAGAAGCACCGGCUAACUCCGUGCCAGCAGCCGCGGUAAUACGGAGGGUGCAAGCGUUAAUCGGAAUUACUGGGCGUAAAGCGCACGCAGGCGGUCUGUCAAGUCGGAUGUGAAAUCCCCGGGCUCAACCUGGGAACUGCAUUCGAAACUGGCAGGCUAGAGUCUUGUAGAGGGGGUAGAAUUCCAGGUGUAGCGGUGAAAUGCGUAGAGAUCUGGAGGAAUACCGGUGGCGAAGGCGGCCCCUGGACAAAGACUGACGCUCAGGUGCGAAAGCGUGGGGAGCAAACAGGAUUAGAUACCCUGGUAGUCCACGCCGUAAACGAUGUCGAUUUGGAGGUUGUGCCCUUGAGGCGUGGCUUCCGGAGCUAACGCGUUAAAUCGACCGCCUGGGGAGUACGGCCGCAAGGUUAAAACUCAAAUGAAUUGACGGGGGCCCGCACAAGCGGUGGAGCAUGUGGUUUAAUUCGAUGCAACGCGAAGAACCUUACCUGGUCUUGACAUCCACAGAACUUUCCAGAGAUGGAUUGGUGCCUUCGGGAACUGUGAGACAGGUGCUGCAUGGCUGUCGUCAGCUCGUGUUGUGAAAUGUUGGGUUAAGUCCCGCAACGAGCGCAACCCUUAUCCUUUGUUGCCAGCGGUCCGGCCGGGAACUCAAAGGAGACUGCCAGUGAUAAACUGGAGGAAGGUGGGGAUGACGUCAAGUCAUCAUGGCCCUUACGACCAGGGCUACACACGUGCUACAAUGGCAUAUACAAAGAGAAGCGACCUCGCGAGAGCAAGCGGACCUCAUAAAGUAUGUCGUAGUCCGGAUUGGAGUCUGCAACUCGACUCCAUGAAGUCGGAAUCGCUAGUAAUCGUAGAACAGAAUGCUACGGUGAAUACGUUCCCGGGCCUUGUACACACCGCCCGUCACACCAUGGGAGUGGGUUGCAAAAGAAGUAGGUAGCUUAACCUUCGGGAGGGCGCUUACCACUUUGUGAUUCAUGACUGGGGUGAAGUCGUAACAAGGUAACCGUAGGGGAACCUGCGGUUGGAUCACCUCCUUA
rnacentral:rRNA from 1 species